rnacentral:rRNA from 1 species
GACGAACGCUGGCGGCGUGCUUAACACAUGCAAGUCGAACGGAAAGGCCUGCUUUCCCUUGUGGAUUGCGGGUACUCGAGUGGCAAACGGGUGAGUAACACGUGAGUGAUCUGCCCCCAACUUGGGUAUAAGCCUGGGAAACUGGGUCUAAUUCCCGAUAGGACUGCAGGGUGGUCGCUGUGGUGGAAAACGAUUUUCUAGUGGUUGGGGAUGAGCUCGCGGCCUAUGAGCUUGUUUGUGGGGUAAUGGCCUACCAAGGCGGCGACGGGUAGCCGGCCUGAGAGGGCGGACGUGGACAUUGAGACUGAGAUACGGCCCAGACUCCGACGGGAGGCAGCAGUGGGGAAGAUUGCACAAUGGGCGGAAGCCUGAUGCAGCGACGCAGGGUGGGGGAUGACGGCCUGCGGGUUGUAAACUCCUUUCGACCGCGAGGAAGCCACCUGGUUGGAAGGGUGGUGACGGUAGUGGGAGAAGAAGCACCGGCUAACUACGUG